GAGCAAGAGGACGACGAAACAGAUGAAAUCGAAAUAGAAAAUAUGGAUCUUAAAGAAUGCUGAAAAAUAUGGUCAUUGGUUUCUGAUAUUGACCAUAAAUCGCUUCGGUUUCUGCUGAGAAUUUUACGUACAAACUGCGAUGCUUCUCGUCCAAAAGAUCCUCGUAUAUUACUUAAAACCCCAAAGAAACCUGCAGGAAUAACUAACAUCACUGGAGGGCAACUGUGGUACCAAGGAAUAAAGACAUGCCUCAUCAAAAAUUUUCGCACCGUUAGCCUUGACGACAAUAUUUCAACUCUAAGCUUGAAAGUGUUUAUUGAUGGCUUACCACUUCAUAAGAGCACCAACCUGGAGUUUUGGCCAAUCUUGGCGAGCAUCGACGAACUCCCAAACGAAGCGCCGAUGAAAGUGGGUAUUUACUGUGGAUUGAAGCAUCCACAAAACAUAGAGGAAUAUUUACGGGAACUUGUAGAUGAAUUGAAAGAAUUGACUACCAGUGGUAUUGUCAUACAAAACCGUUUAAUAAAUAUCAACCUGCUUUACUUCAUCGCUGACACUCCUGCAAGAGCUCUGCUAAAAGGAGUUGUGAAUUUUAACGGAUUGCAAGGAUGCAUUAAAUGCACAUGUCAAGGAAAGAAGGAAAACAACAGAACUAUUUUUAGAGGAGUUUCUGCCGAGCCACGAACAAACAAAGCAUUUCGAGAUGGCGAUUAUAUGCCAGAGCAUCAAAGAGAACUAACGCCUCUAUUGGAUCUCAAAUGCUUAGAUAUGAUUAAACAAUUUAUUGUGGCUGACGAAUUGCAUCUAAUUCACCAUGGAGUCUUCAAAAAACUAAUUAAGAGAUGGAGGGAUGGAGAGCGUGGAGUUUUACCCAGAUGGUCUGAUCAACAAUGUGAGAUAAUUUCAUCAAAAUUAGCCGACAUCCAGCUUCCAACCGAAAUUCAUAGACAGCUACGUCAUUUGCGAUUUUUUGAUAAAUGGAAAGCAACCGAGUUCAAAUCAUUCCUUCACUACGGCAGCAUUGUUGUUUUGCGUGAUAAUGUGCCAGAAGAGCAGUAUUCCCAUUUCAUGUUACUAUUGUAACAAUAGGUAUAAGUAUGGGUGAGGGUUGUAAUAAUAGGUGUUGGGAGCCACCCUGUACAAGCCUUGACAGAGUUCGUCAUGCGCCCGAUGUUAGGCGACCGUAUGCGUGAAAGCACGAUCGACGCUCUUCGGGAUAGAGAGAUCGUUCUCUUCUCUCCCGACCGGCUAAGGCAAAGGACGUAUCGUUUGGUCCGUGUGUAAAACAUUACAUUAUAUUAAUAAAAGUUAUUGUUAUAGAUCGAAGAUACAAAAGUGGCGACGAGGAUAAUUCUGGCGAGCUGUUUCCCGUGAUUUUAUCGAUUUUGAUUUCUAUUUUACCCGUUUUCUGUGUAAACGGAGGAUCCGUGUCUUUGACCUGAUGGAACGAAAUGGUGAACCAUCGCCAUCGCGGAGCAGCCAUGACCCAAGCCAGCGAACCGUCACCAAUUUACCGUUGGACACGAAUGCCUUCAUCCAAGACAUAUUUAAGCAGCAGCAGGAAAUUCUUCAUCAGCAACAACAGUCCUUUUUGCAACAGCAGGAGCAGCUAAUUACUAAAGUGCUGGAUCGCGACAACCUGUGGGAAAUGAACACAUUAUUGAUGCCCUAGCAAAACACAUACAAGAGUUCCACUAUGCUCCGGAGGAUG